AUUGAACGCUGGCGGCAGGCCUAACACAUGCAAGUCGAGCGGAUGAAGGGAGCUUGCUCCUGGAUUCAGCGGCGGACGGGUGAGUAAUGCCUAGGAAUCUGCCUGGUAGUGGGGGAUAACGUCCGUAAACGGGCGCUAAUACCGCAUACGUCCUGAGGGAGAAAGUGGGGGAUCUUCGGACCUCACGCUAUCAGAUGAGCCUAGGUCGGAUUAGCUAGUUGGUGGGGUAAAGGCCUACCAAGGCGACGAUCCGUAACUGGUCUGAGAGGAUGAUCAGUCACACUGGAACUGAGACACGGUCCAGACUCCUACGGGAGGCAGCAGUGGGGAAUAUUGGACAAUGGGCGAAAGCCUGAUCCAGCCAUGCCGCGUGUGUGAAGAAGGUCUUCGGAUUGUAAAGCACUUUAAGUUGUGAGGAAGGGCAGUAAGUUAAUACCUUGCUGUUUUGACGUUACCAACAGAAUAAGCACCGGCUAACUUCGUG
rnacentral:rRNA from 1 species